rnacentral:rRNA from 1 species
CCUACGGGAGGCAGCAGUGAGGAAUAUUGGUCAAUGGGCGCGAGCCUGAACCAGCCAAGUAGCGUGAAGGAUGACUGCCCUACGGGUUGUAAACUUCUUUUAUAAAGGAAUAAAGUGAGGCACGUGUGCCUUUUUGUAUGUACUUUAUGAAUAAGGAUCGGCUAACUCCGUGCCAGCAGCCGCGGUAAUACAGAGGCUCCGAGCGUUAUCCGGCUUUAUUGGGUUUAAAGGGAGCGUAGAUGGGUUGUUAAGUCAGUUGUGAAAGUUUGCGGCUCAACCGUAAAAUUGCAAUUGAUACUGGCAGUCUUGAGUACAGUUGAGGGAGGAGGAAUUCGUGGUGUAGCGGUGAAAUGCGUAGAUAUCACGAAGAACUCCGAUGGCGAAGGCAGCUUACUAAACUGCCACUGACAUUGAGGCUCGAAAGUGUGGGUAGCAAACAGGAGUAGAUACCCGUGUAGUC